rnacentral:rRNA from 1 species
CCUACGGGAGGCUGCAGUGAGGAAUAUUGGUCAAUGGGCGGGGCCCUGAACCAGCCACGUCGCGUGAGGGAAGACGGUCUUCUGGAUUUUAAGCCUUAUCAGCCGGGGAGCAAUGCCGGGCACGUGUGCACGGAGCGCGAGUUACCGCCGUAUCAGCAUCGGCUAACGUCGUGCCAGCAGCCGCGGUAUUACGGAGGAUGCGAGCGUUAUGCGGUUUUGUUGGGGUAAAGGGGUGCGUAAGCGGAUUUUUAGGUCAGCGGGAAAAUGUCGGGGCUCAACCCGGGCCGGCCGUUGAAACUGGGGAUCUUGAGUGGGCGAGAGGUAUGCGGAAUGCGUGGUGUAGCGGUGAAAUGCAUAGAUAUCACGCAGAACUCCAGUUGCGAAGGCAGCAUACCGGCGCCCGACUGACGCUGAGGCACGAAAGCGUGGGGAUCGAACAGGAUUAGAUACCCGAGUAGUC